AGGGAAAAGUCCUCUCCACAGGAAGCUGAGAGUUGUGCCCAGGGGAUCUGGGUGACCAAGCCCCUCCCAUAUUGAUCAGUCAUUGGAUGUGCCCGGAGCCAGGCAGAUUUCAAUGGUUGCCGGCUUCCUUAUUCGAGCUUGGUGGUGUUAGGGCCAAGACUAAGAGAAGGCGAGUGAGGAAGACUUCACGGUGCAACAAUGUAAGGCUCACCAAAAACUCAGGUGAGUGAGAUAACGAGCGUUUUAAGGCAUUAUGCUUUAAAUCAAACUGAAUGCAAAAAUCCACGAUGAAAAGCUAGUGUCAUUUAGACAGAGAUCUGUAUUUGUUUAUUUUUUGACGGCUCUGGAACGGUAACGGUGUUUUUCAUUCAGGACGCUGUUCUCAGCACCGUAUCCUCACCCUGCGUUUAAAAAUAUGGAAGCCGUUGAUAAGCGAAAGCAGAGGCCCACUUUUUCCCUUUUAUUGCAGGCUCUGAUACAGGGCAUUGCAGAGCUCAAAGCCAUCUUCAAGAUCAUCCCGGCUUCGGUGACCAGUUCCUUGUUGAAGUCACACCUGGAAAGCCCGCAGAAGAAGGUGUCAAGGAAGUACUUAGUGAACUGGAGGAGGCUCAAAAGCAGGUUGGAGAAGCUGAGCUGUGACAGGAAGAUUAUCACUGCCGGUGAAACCAAACUCAGUGAAAUGAUCGCUUUUGUGCUCCGGCAAAGAUCUCGCCACCAGUUACAAGGAAACAAGUUUUUAUUCAUCUUUGCCCAUGAAAAGAUGAAAAUGUCUCUACAAACCCAUGUCUUCUGGGUCCAGAGAAACCGAUGUGCCAUGAUGUGCCUGAACAUGGAAUCAAAUAAACACGUCCCUGAUAGCAGCUUUCCCUUCCUGCAGUGCCUUCAGUGGUUAUGAAAACGCAG
ensembl:lincRNA